ACCCCACCCCACCCCCACCCCAGCUCACUGCUAGAACCAUCCAACUGUCGGCGCCAGCCCUCGAGCCCAGCGGGAAACUUCAACUGGGACAAACUGGUGGAGAAUCGUGCUGUUUCGUCCAGGUGACAGAGAACUGGGGUCUUUGCUGCCCGGUCUUCACACACUGUGACUCACUGGGCACAAGAGUCAACCCUUGCCACCGCCCACGCCAGAUGCCUGUAUCCUAAAACUUGCUGUUCCUGCUCAACUGUAUUUUUCCCUUCUGCGUUGACUGCCAAGUCCUGUCCUUCUCCAGCCCACCGGCUGUCUUGGCACAAACCCACCUGACUCCUGCCCGCACGGAGAAAAGCUCACAGCCUUCCUUAGCCCCUAGGAAGACACAGCGGGCAAGUGCAAUCCCAGCUUGUCCCUUGCCGGCCAAUGACUGGGCAUCUAUAAGAAUCUCCUCCUUGGAUGGUGUGGAAGGCACAGCAGACGCCAGCUUGUCACGAGGAGGUGUACACGGCAUUCCUGUAGUCCUCAGAUGUGUUUCACAGCCAUGGCAAAUGUCCAGUUGAGUUCCGCACCGUGUUGGUGCUGGAAGAGGCGUUUUGGAGGAAGCAUGGACUUAACAGAGCAGGGAAAAAGGGGGGGAGGGGUAUUCCAGAUAAAGGAGAGUGAUUAAAGGCAAGGAGAUAA